GGAGUCCGAAGGAGGUACAUGAUGAUCCGGCUAUCUUUACCACAGUUGCUCGCAUUCCGGAUGCAAUGCUAAAGAAGGUGGAUCCCACGAAUAAUGUGUUGGUGUCAUACUUACAAUCCAUUGACACAACCGUUGUGACUGGAAUAUUACAACAAGAAGAGAAGAAGAAGUCGAAGAAGUCAAAGAAGACAGAGGGUGACUCUUCGGAAAAAGGGGUGAAAGAAGAACAAAAGAAUCAGGAGCUAAUCGUUACAUCUCGAAAUGUCGAAGAGGUGUCUCCGGUUUUAACCUCAGUGGCUGAUACACCGGUUAUUGAAGCCUCUCCAUCUAAAGAAACGAUUCCUUCGAAGACGGGGGUUUUUCGAAGAAUAAAGNAAUUAGGGUCUCAAAGAGGUUGUUUUGCAAGAUUUUGGGAAUUCCGAAUUCUGGCCCGUAUGAUGAACUUACUUCUUCGCAAGUGGUGUAUAUGUUCAAUGAGAUGGGUCACCAACCUCCAUUGACACGUAUUAGUGACUUCAAGAAGUCGGGGUUACCAACAAUUUGGAACUUUUUGUUUGACAUCUUUCUUAGAUGUCUUACUGGAAGAACUAUGGGGUUGGAUAAAGGAAGGAUAGAGGUCUAUGCAAUGGUAGUUAGGCUAUACUAUGAUUUACAAGUUGAUUAUUCUGAGCAGUUAUGGACAGAGUUCAUCACAAGUAUUUCGAAGACCAGUGCUAAGCAGGGAAUUUCUUGUGCAAGAUAUUGGAGUUUGAUAGUCCAAUAUGUCUAUCAGAAGGAGAAGAUCGAAGUUCCUGAUUACGAAGAGAAAGCUGUUUUCCACAUGUACGGGAGUCCGAAGGAGGUACAUGAUGAUCCGGCUAUCUUUACCACAGUUGCUCGCAUUCUGGAUGCAAUGCUAAAGAAGGUGGAUCCCACGAAUAAUGUGUUGGUGUCAUACUUACAAUCCAUUGACACAACCAUUGUGACUGGAAUAUUACAACAAGAAGAGAAGAAGAAGUCGAAGAAGUCGAAGAAGUCAAAGAAGACAGAGGGUGACUCUUCGGAAAAAAGGGUGAAAGAAGAACAAAAGAAUCAGGAGCUAAUCGUUACAUCUCAAACUGUCGAAGAGGUGUCUCCUGUUUUAACCUCAGUGGCUGAUACACCUGUUAUUGAAGCCUCUCCAUCUAAAGAAACGAUUCCUUCGAAGACGGGGGUUUUUCGAAGAAUAAAAAUCAAGCGAAAAUCUCAGUUGGUGAAGAAAACUUAGGUUACUCAUCAAGGAGUUACCGUUCGAGAAAUUCCAGCUCCGGUGUCUCCAUCUUCUAAAAAGCGAAGGGCUGAAGAUAUGGCGAAAUUUUUGAAGAAAACCCAACG
rnacentral:lncRNA from 1 species